rnacentral:rRNA from 1 species
AUUGAACGCUGGCGGCAGGCCUAACACAUGCAAGUCGAACGAGUGGCGGACGGGUGAGUAAUGUCUGGGAAACUGCCUGAUGGAGGGGGAUAACUACUGGAAACGGUAGCUAAUACCGCAUACCAUCAGAUGUGCCCAGAUGGGAUUAGCUUGUUGGUGGGGUAACGGUUCACCAAGGCGACGAUCCCUAGCUGGUCUGAGAGGAUGACCAUCAACACUGGAACUGAGAAACGGUCAAGACUCCUACGGGCGGCAGCAGUGGGGAAGAUUGUACAAUGGGCUAAAGACUGAUGCAGCCAUGCUGCUUGUAUGAAGAAUGCCCUCGGGUUGUAAAGUACUUUCAGCUGUGCGGCGUUACCCGAAGAAGAAGCACCGGCUAACUCCGUGCCAGCAGCCGCGGUAAUAC